CAGCCCCGUCGCCCGCACGGCGGACGACUUCUCCGCGGAGUCGGGCCGCGGGCUGCUCCUGGUCGAGUCGUUCAGCGACGGCUGGGGCUGGC
rnacentral:tRNA from 1 species